rnacentral:misc_RNA from 1 species
GUAGGUGAACCUGCGGAAGGAUCAUUACCGAGAGAAUGGGGUCUAACCGGCCCCACCUCUUCACCCGUGUUUACCGAAACAACUGUUGCUUUGGCGGGCCAGGGCCCCUGUCCCUGGGUGGGUUCACCCCCCUUCAGCGCCCGCCAGAGGCUCUCUCAAACCCUGUUAUUAGUGUUGUCCGAGUAAAACAGAAAUAAACUAAAACUUUCAACAACGGAUCUCUUGGUUCCCGCAUCGAUGAAGAACGCAG